GGCAAGGCCAAGUCUUGGGAGACCUGAGAGGCAGCAAGGAGCCCGAGUUAGAAACCGUCCAGAAGGGGCAGCUUCGAAGAACUUGCCACGCGGCAGCAGGUGUCACAGGCAGCGUGCGCAGAAGUCCUUGGAUAGAGGGGGUGGUGUCCUGCGUUGACGGGUUGGGAUGCGGAGGCUCAGAGGGUGAAGAAAGGGCCUGAUUUCAGAGAGUCUGUGGAGAAGCGAGCCCACAGGGUCCACGGUCUGCAGGGGAGGGGUGUGGGGCAGGCGAUUCCCAAGCAUCUGUGCCCCCUGCAGAGCACAUCUGCUGAUGGGAGGUCAGGCUUGGGGCUGAGUGUCCACUGCCCCCAGCAAGACCAGCCAAGUCCUAGAGCCCUGGCCCUGCUGUGGCACCCAGUGCCCUGGUGCAGACAGCGAGGCGUCUUUGAAGUGAAGCUCGGAAUUGACGUGUGAACACCCAGCUCUUGGGAGUGUCUACUCAGAGGGAAUGAUUUAUUUGAGGAGGGGCUGUGUAGCUUGUGUAUCAGCAGAGGCGCUGCUGGGAACAAAACGAAAGCCUUUGCAAAACGUGGCCGCAAAAACUCUUCAAAGGUGGAAAGAGUUAGUUGAAGUCACACACGCUAUCCGAUAUUAUAAACAGCUGUUCCACCCACGCUACAGUCAAAGCAGCAGCAUUCUGAUCCCUGCGAAGGUGUAUGAGUAUUUUGUCAUUGAUGAAGCCGGGCCACGUACAGCAUGAGGAAUAUGCCAAAGCCAAAGACCGCCUUGGAGCUCACCCUUCCCUCGGUCCCCAAAGUUCGGAAUCGUGGACCGUUAGCAAGAACUGUCUGGCUGAUCGUUAUUGGCUCAGGUCUGAAACCACACGGAGCUUUAUUGAAUGAAAAUACAAUACUGAAUUUUUCCCACUAGUUACAAGAACAGAAUCCCUCGGUAUCGUGGGGAUUGGUUCCAGGACCCCUGCAGAUACCAAAAUCCACGGAUGCUCAGGUGCCUUAUGUAAAACGGCACAGUACAAUCGGCCCUCUGUAUCCAGGGUUUCUGCACCUGUGGACUUAACCAACUGUUGAAUGUAUUGAAGGUUUGUGGCAGCUCUGCAAUGAGCAAGUCUAUCAGCUCCAGUUUCCCAACGGCAUUUGCUCACUUCUCUGCGUCAGGUUUUGGCCCCUCCCUGUUCCCCGACACGCAGCAAUAUUGAAAUUAAGCCAGUUAAUAACCCUACAGUGGCUCUAAGUGUUCAAGUGAAAGGAAGACUCACACGUCUCUCACUUUAAAUCAAGAGCUAGAAAAAAUUAAGCUUACUGAGGAAGGCAUGUCGAAAGCUGAGUCAGCCAAGUUGUGAAUGCAAAGGAAAAGUUCUUCAAGGAAAUUAAAAGUGCUACUUCAGUGAACACAGGAAUGAUAAGAAUGCAAAAUAGCCUUCUUGCUGAUUGCAGAAAGUCUCAGUGUCUGGAUAGAAGAUGAAACCAGCCACAACACUCCCUUAAGCCAAAGUCUAAUCCAGAGCAAGGCCCUGACUCUCUUCAGUUCUGUGAAGGCUGAGAGAGGUGAGGAAGCUGCAGGAGAAAAGUCUGAAGCCAGCCGAGGUCGGUUCAUGAGGUUUCAGGAAAGAAGCCGCCUCCAUCACAUAAAAGUAUAUGAGGAAGCAGCAGGUGCUGGUGUAGAAGCUGCAGCAAGUUAUCCAGAAGAUCCAGCUAAGAGAAUUCAUGAAGCUACACUGAACAACAGAUUUUCAAUGCAGAUGAAACAGCCUCCUAUUGGAAGACGCCAUCUAGGACUUUCACAGCUAAAGAAGUCAAUGCCUGGCUUCAAAGCUUCAAAGGACAGGCUGAUUCUCUUGUUAGGAGCUAAUGCAGCUGGUGACUUUGCUCACUUACCAUUCCGAACAUCCUAGGGCCCUUUAGAAUUAUGCUAAAUCUACUCUGCCUGUGCUCUGUAAAUGGAACAACAAAGCCUGGUUAACAACACAUCUGUUUACAACAUGCUUUACCGGAUAUUUUAAGCCCAGCGUUGAGACCUACUGCUCAGAAAAAAAAAGCUUCCUUUCAAAAUAUGACUGCUCGUUGACAAUGCACCUGGUCACCCCAGAGCUCUGACGGGGAUGGACAAUGAGAUGAAUGCUGUCUUCAGGCUGCUGACACAGCAUCCAUUCUGCAGCCCGUGGAUCAAGGAGGAAUUUCGGCUUUCAAGUCUUAUUAUUUAAGAAAUACACUUCAUAAGGCUGUAGCUGCCAGAGACAGUGAUUCCUCUGAUGGAUCUGGGCAAAGUCAAUUGAAAACCUUCUGGAAAGGACUCAUCAUUCCAGAUGCCAUUAAGAACAUUUGUGGGGCUUCCCUGGUGGCGCAGUGGUUGCGCGUCCGCCUGCCGAUGCAGGGGAACCGGGUUCGCGCCCCGGUCUGGGAGGAUCCCACAUGCCGCGGAGCGGCUGGGCCCGUGAGCCAUGGCCGCUGGGCCUGCGCGUCCGGAGCCUGUGCUCCGCAACGGGAGAGGCCGCAGCAGAGGGAGGCCCGCGUACCAAAAAAAAAAAAAAAAAAAAAAAAAAGAACAUUUGUGAUUCAUGGGAAGAGGUCAAAAUAUUAACAUUAACAGGAGUUUGGUAGAAUUUGAUUCCAGCCCUCAUGGACCACUUGGAGGGGUUCAAGACCUCAGUGAAGGAAGUAACUGCAGAUGUGGUGGAAACAGCAAGAGAACUAGAAUUAGAAGUGGAGCCUGCAGAUGGGACUGAAUUGCUGCCAUCUCAUGAGAAAACUAACGGAUGAGGGGUUGCCUCUUAUGGAUGAACAGAGAAAGUGGUUUCUUGAGAUGGAAGCUACCCCUGGUGAUGAUGCUGUGAAGACUGUUGAAAUGACAACCGAGGAUUUAGAAGAUUCCAUAAACUUAGCUGAUAAAAAAGUGGCAGGGUUUGAGAGGAUCUACUCCAACUUUGAAAGAAGUUCUCCUGUGGGAAAACCGCUAUCAAACAGCACUGCUGCUGCAGAGAAAUGGUUCAUGAAAGGAAGAGUCGAUAGAUGUGGCAAACUUCACUGCCGUCUUAUUU